rnacentral:rRNA from 1 species
UAGGGAAUCUUCCACAAUGGACGCAAGUCUGAUGGAGCAACGCCGCGUGAGUGAAGAAGGUUUUCGGACCGUAAAGCUCUGUUGUUGGUGAAGAAGGAUAGAGGUAGUAACUGGCCUUUAUUUGACGGUAAUCAACCAGAAAGUCACGGCUAACUACGUGCCAGCAGCCGCGGUAAUACGUAGGUGGCAAGCGUUGUCCGGAUUUAUUGGGCGUAAAGCGAGCGCAGGCGGAAGAAUAAGUCUGAUGUGAAAGCCCUCGGCUUAACCGAGGAAUUGCAUCGGAAACUGUUUUCUUGAGUGCAGAAGAGGAGAGUAGAACUCCAUGUGUAGCGGUGGAAUGCGUAGAUAUAUGGAAGAAUACCAGUGGCGAAGGCGGCUCUCUGGUCUGCAACUGACGCUGAGGCUCGAAAGCAUGGGUAGCGAACAGGAUUAGAUACCCUGAGUAGUCCAUGCCGUAAAACGAUGAGUGCUAAGUGUUGGGAGGCUUCCGCCUCUCAGUGCUGCAGCUAACGCAUUAAGCACUCCGCCUGGGGGAGUACGACCGCAAGGUUGAAAC